CCCUUAGAUGUUCUGGGCUGCACGCGCGCUACACUGGAGCGUUCAACGAGUAUUCACCUUGCCCGGGAGGGUUGGGUAAUCUUCUUAAAACGCUUCGUGAUGGGGAUAGAUUAUUGCAAUUAUUAAUCUUCAACGAGGAAUUCCUAGUAGACGUAGUUCAUCAGACUGCAUCGAUUACGUCCCUGCCCUUUGUACACACCGCCCGUCGCUCCUACCGAUUGAAUGCUCAGGUGAGCCAUUCGGACUUUCAUCAUGCUGGUUUCCAGUUUUGAUGAAGGAAAGUCUUGCGAACCUUAUCAUUUAGAGGAAGGAGAAGUCGUAACA
rnacentral:rRNA from 1 species